rnacentral:tRNA from 3 species
CGGGGCGUAGCGCAGCCUGGCUAGCGUACCUGCUUUGGGAGCAGGGGGUCGGAGGUUCGAAUCCUCUCGCCCCGACCA